rnacentral:lncRNA from 1 species
UGAAGCCUGUCCCCACUUUGAGUUGUCCAGCUUUUUUGCUUCAAAUUGUCCCGCCUUUCUGGACCAAAUCAGUGUUCAUUUUACAUGUGUCAAUUGAUGUCUCAUCCUCCCUAAAAUGUAUAAAACCAAGCUCUGCUCUGACCACCUUAGACACAUGUUGUCAGGACUUCCAGGGGCUGUGUCAUAGGUGUGUGUCCUCAACCUUGGCAAACUAAACUAUCUAAAUUAACUGAGACCUGUCUCAGAUUUUCAGGGUUUACAUCUGACAAAUCUCCUUUCAGUGCUUGGUGCCAACAUCAGCUAACUCUAUGGCUCAAAACAACAGGACAAUUUGCUGAGGUCUGGGAGCAGCACCUCCAGAGAAUCCCUUAUCUCCCCAAAUUUGGUCGAGAUCUAAAGUUUAUUUUGCUGUACAACUCCAUUUUUUGGAGUUUUACUGGCUUUCAACCAGGAAGACAAGAUUUCCUGUUUCCAUGACGAUGACGACGACGAUGGAAGGCAGGUAACUCCUUUAUGGAGUUUGAGCUCGCUCCCAGCAGGGAAGAUGAGUUUUUUCCUACUUCUAGAAUGGUAGAAAGCAUUCUUCAGCCUGAGACCCAUCCCUAGGUCUGGUAGAAGACACCAAUCAAAAUAAACUGCAUUCCUGAAACACAGACAGACGUUAAAGCUAUUCAAGUCCUCAAGUCCCAGAGACUAUUGAGGAAGAGGUGGGAGUGUGACAUUGGAAGGGCUGAUAUUGAGAGAUAAAAGUCAAGAAAACUUUUAAGCUGUUUACAGC